GAGCAUGUGGUUUAAUUCGAUGCAACGCGAAGAACCUUACCAAGGCUUGACAUGAACCGGAAACACCUAGAGAUAGGUGCCCCACUUGUGGUCGGUUUACAGGUGGUGCAUGGUUGUCGUCAGCUCGUGUCGUGAGAUGUUGGGUUAAGUCCCGCAACGAGCGCAACCCUCGUUCCAUGUUGCCAGCGGGUUAUGCCGGGGACUCAUGGGAGACUGCCGGGGUCAACUCGGAGGAAGGUGGGGACGACGUCAAAUCAUCAUGCCCCUUAUGUCUUGGGCUUCACGCAUGCUACAAUGGCCGGUACAAUGGGUUGCGAUACUGUGAGGUGGAGCUAAUCCCAAAAAGCCGGUCUCAGUUCGGAUUGGGGUCUGCAACUCGACCCCANGAAGUCGGAGUC
rnacentral:rRNA from 1 species